rnacentral:rRNA from 1 species
ACGCUAUCACUCCUACGGGAGGCAGCAGUGGGAAUAUUGCACAAUGGGCGCAAGCCUGAUGCAGCCAUGCCGCGUGUAUGAAGAAGGCCUUCGGGUUGUAAAGUACUUUCAGCAGUGAGGAAGGUAGUGUAGUUAAUAGCUGCAUUAUUUGACGUUAGCUGCAGAAGAAGCACCGGCUAACUACGUGCCAGCAGCCGCGGUAAUACGUAGGGUGCGAGCGUUGUCCGGAAUUACUGGGCGUAAAGAGCUCGUAGGUGGUUUGUCGCGUCGUUUGUGGAAUACCGCAGCUUAACUGCGGGGUUGCAGGCGAUACGGGCAUAACUUGAGUGCUGUAGGGGAGACUGGAAUUCCUGGUGUAGCGGUGGAAUGCGCAGAUAUCAGGAGGAACACCGAUGGCGAAGGCAGGUCUCUGGGCAGUAACUGACGCUGAGGAGCGAAAGCAUGGGUAGCGAACAGGAUUAGAUACCCUGGUAG